GAGAGAGACAUGCGCGCAUAUCAAUAAGCGGAGGAAAAGAAACUAACAAGGAUUCCCUUAGUAACGGCGAGUGAAGCGGGAAGAGCUCAAAUUUGAAAUCUUCAAGGUUUUACCUUGACGAAUUGUAGUUUAAAGAAGUGUUUUCUGCUGAAGUUUUGGUAAAAGUUCUUUGGAAUAGGACAUCAUAGAGGGUGAGAAUCCCGUAUUUGACCAUUAUUUUCAGCUUUGUGAUACACUUUCAAAGAGUCGGAUUGUUUGGGAAUGCAGUCCAAAAUGGGUGGUAAAUUUCAUCUAAAGCUAAAUAUUGGCGAGAGACCGAUAGCGAACAAGUACCGUGAGGGAAAGAUGAAAAGAACUUUGAAAAGAGAGUUAAACAGUACGUGAAAUUGUCAAAAGGGAAGCGUUUGACACCAGUGUUGUUUUCUCGAAAAUCAAUUAAAAAUGGCUCGAUUUUGUAUUGUUGAGACCUUAAAAGCUCACUGUACAUUUUUCGUGUCUUUUUUAAUGCACUUUUCGUUUAACAAGUCAACAUCAGUUUCUUUUGUUGUAAAAGGGAUCAUUGGAAGGUGGCUUUCUUUUCGGAGAAAGUGUUUAUAGCCUUUGGCCUCUGCAAUCGGAGAGACUGAGGUCUGCAGCGUAGACUCUUCGGGGUUAGAUACAUUUGUGCUAAGUUAUAGCUUUUUAUAGACAACUUGUUGACUAUAAUUAGUCUUGUAGCUUACUCGCUUAUGCUAUUUUACCUACGCUUAGGAUGUUGAGUCGUAGAGCACGCAG
rnacentral:rRNA from 1 species